rnacentral:rRNA from 1 species
GAUGAACGCUAGCGGCAGGCUUAACACAUGCAAGUCGAGGGGCAGCGCGUCGUAGCAAUACGAUGGCGGCGACCGGCGGAAGGGUGCGUAACGCGUGAGCAACUUGCCCGUCACAGGGGAAUAACCGGUGGAAACGCCGACUAACACCCCGUAACACAUUUCGCCGCAUGGCGAGAUGUUGAAAACUCCGGUGGUGACGGAUAGGCUCGCGUGCCAUUAGCUAGUCGGCGGGGCAACGGCCCACCGAGGCGACGAUGGCUAGGGGUUCUGAGAGGAAGGCCCCCCACACUGGGACUGAGACACGGCCCAGACUCCUACGGGAGGCAGCAGUGAGGAAUAUUGGACAAUGGAGGCAACUCUGAUCCAGCCAUGCCGCGUGAAGGACUAAGGCCCUAUGGGCUGUAAACUUCUUUAGACGCAGAGCAAUAAGGGCCACGUGUGGUCCGAUGAGAGUAUGCGUAGAAUAAGCAUCGGCUAACUCCGUGCCAGCA